rnacentral:rRNA from 1 species
UACGGAGGGAGCUGAGCGUUAUUCGGAAUUACUGGGCGUAAAGCGCACGUAGGCGGCUUUGUAAGUUAGAGGUGAAAAGCCGUGGAGCUCAACUCCAGAAUUGCCUUUAAGACUGCAUCGCUUGAACAUCGGAGAGGUAAGUGGAAUUCCGAGUGUAGAGGUGAAAUUCGUAGAUAUUCGGAAGAACACCAGUGGCGAAGGCGACUUACUGGACGAUUGUUGACGCUGAGGUGGCGAAAAGCGUGGGGAGCAAACAGG